UACGGAGGAUCCAAGCGUUAUCCGGAUUUAUUGGGUUUAAAGGGUGCGUAGGCGGCUUAUUAAGUCAGGGGUGAAAGACGGUGGCUCAACCAUCGCAGUGCCCUUGAUACUGAUGAGCUUGAAUGAACUAGAGGUAGGCGGAAUGUGACAAGUAGCGGUGAAAUGCAUAGAUAUGUCACAGAACACCGAUUGCGAAGGCAGCUUACUAUGGUUUUGAUUUGACGCUGAGGCACGAAAGCGUGGGGAUCAAACAGG
rnacentral:rRNA from 1 species